rnacentral:sRNA from 1 species
AUUAGACUGUCUCAGUGGUGAAUCCCCCUAUGCGGCGGGGCAAACCAGUUAAAGUUAUCUAUAAAUAUGCUUGCGACUCGCAUAACUGGUAACGAGUCACCGGGAGGCACCCGGCACCACAAUCUACAUCUCAUCAGGAAAUAUCUAUUCUCAAGGCUGCCGGUUGGCGGCCUUUUUC